CCGUAUGUGAAGUGGUAACUGCCCUCAAGGAGCUUACAAUCUAGCUGGGGGUAAACGACUUGCACAUGAACGCAACUAGACUGUGAGCUUCUAGAGGGCAGGGACCUCA
ensembl:miRNA MIR708 microRNA 708